rnacentral:rRNA from 1 species
UACGAAGGGGGCUAGCGUUGUUCGGAAUUACUGGGCGUAAAGCGCACGUAGGCGGGUUGUUAAGUCAGGGGUGAAAUCCUGGAGCUCAACUCCAGAACUGCCUUUGAUACUGGCAACCUAGAGACUGGAAGAGGUUAGUGGAAUUCCCAGUGUAGAGGUGAAAUUCGUAGAUAUUGGGAAAAACACCAGUGGCGAAGGCGGCUAACUGGUCCAGUACUGACGCUGAGGUGCGAAAGCGUGGGGAGCAAACAGG